AGGUUAACCGUAUAGGGGAGCCGGAGGGAAACCGAGUCUUAAUUGGGCGUUAAGUUGCAGGGUAUAGACCCGAAACCCGGUGAUCUAGCCAUGGGCAGGUUGAAGGUUGGGUAACACUAACUGGAGGACCGAACCGACUAAUGUUGAAAAAUUAGCGGAUGACCUGUGGCUGGGGGUGAAAGGCCAAUCAAACCGGGAGAUAGCUGGUUCUCCCCGAAAGCUAUUUAGGUAGCGCCUCGUGAAUUCAUCUCCGGGGGUAGAGCACUGUUUCGGCUAGGGGGCCAUCCCGGCUUACCAACCCGAUGCAAACUGCGAAUACCGGAGAAUGUUAUCACGGGAGACACACGGCGGGUGCUAACGUCCGUCGUGAAGAGGGAAACAACCCAGACCGCCAGCUAAGGUCCCAAAGUCAUGGUUAAGUGGGAAACGAUGUGGGAAGGCCCAGACAGCCAGGAUGUUGGCUUAGAAGCAGCCAUCAUUUAAAGAAAGCGUAAUAGCUCACUGGUCGAGUCGGCCUGCGCGGAAGAUGUAACGGGGCUAAACCAUGCACCGAAGCUGCGGCAGCGA
rnacentral:rRNA from 1 species